rnacentral:lncRNA from 1 species
AUUAAGUUUAAAGUCUCCUUUCCAGCCACUGGUUGUCAGAAACUCAUUGAAGUUCAUGAUGAAGGCAAGUUUCAUACAUUCUAAGAGAAGCAAAUGGCCACAGAAGUAGCUGCUGAGGUACUGGUUGAGGAAUAAAAGUAUUAUGCAGCAUGAAUAUUUGUAGGGAGGACAAACAACUGUUCUUUGUGAAGCAAGGGAUGACAACACACAGCAGAGUACAUCAUUUAUUGGAUAACUCUCAUUCAUGUUACAGACCAAGGAGAACUGGAGAGAGAAAGAGCAAGUCUGUUCAUGAUGUAUUGUGGAUGCUCAUCGUGGUAUUCUCAACUCAGUCAUUGUUAAAGAAAAAUAUGAAAACAGAAUAUUCCUGUACUGAUAUAUACUACUAUGGCUCAGUGUUUGGAGUUGAAAAGAUUUAGAAGAAUCUGAAAACUUUUCAAUCUUUCUAAACUGGUAUUCCCCUGUACUGGGGCAUAUAAAGAACAAACAUAUUUUAAAAGCUUGAAGAAAGAAAGAAAAAAAAGGAGGAGGCAGAAUAUGCCACAUGAAGUCAAAGAAUGGUGCUUAGAACAGAUUGGGAAGAGAAAUUGGAUGUCCUCACUGACAGCUUGUACCUCUCAGAAUGAGUCCAGUCAAAAA